UCUUUCUCCCACCUCUCAACUUCCCGUCCAUCCCCUUUUUUCUUCACCUGCCGACAACCAGAGGAGAGAUGUCAUGCCCUAGCGUCAGCCGCCGCCACAUCUCCAGCCCUGCUCGCCGGCAGCGCACACCGCCUGGCCGUCAGUGUUUACCCCGCCGCGACGCCACCUGGUUGCCAUCCCCGCGCUCAAGGUCGACCCCGCAGUCCUCGCUGCAUCUCCUACCUCGGGCGCCGGCAGCCCCACAAGGCCACAAGACACAGCGCCGCCGCUGCACCACCACGUCGCCAGACGCUAGUCGCCCCGCGUGUUUCCCCAUACAAAUACAAGUUGCCCUUUGAUUUGGCUAAUGGAUCGAAUAAGAUUUCUCUUCCCAGGAUCUUCCCUUGAAGGCGAUGCCGCCAAGGAAGCGGGGGAAAAGGGGGUUACCACCGCUACCAAGCAGCAGCAACCGCCACCGCCCGACCCGCCUGGACCCGACGCUCCCGUGCAAGAGAAGCUGCGGAGGCUUGCUGACCAAGAGACUGGGAUUCCUCAUCUGAAGUGGUUUGGAGUGGACGGGGAGUACAAUGUCAUGGUCAUUGAUCUUCUUGGUCCAAGUCUGUAAGACUUAUUCAACUAUUGCAACAGUACUUAUGCUUGCUGAUCAGAUGAUUGCUAGGGUAGAGUACAUGCACUUGAGGGGCUUUCUUCAUCGUGAUAUAAAGCCGGAUAACUUUCUUGUGGGUUUAGGCCAUAGAGCAAGCCAGGCUGAUUAAAUGCGCGAGUUGAUAUUGUGGGAAGGUUAGGACGACCAAAGUGCUUGAUUGCAGCGUGAGUUGAUAUUGACUGUGAGUUGAUAUUGACUGUUUCGAAAAUGAAUUUACUUCCUUGGAAAUGUUCGGGCGGUCUUAUUCCACUAUCGCAAAGAUUAUUAGAGUAGGCUCCCCUCCAUUACUUGUGGAGAUGGUGUUGGACAAGUCUUUGAAAGGAGUUCGUUCAGUCGAUUGUUUCGACGGCUCCAUCUGCAAGGUGUCCUGAUAAAAAAGCAGGGAAGUACUGGCGUUUGACCUUUAUGAGUUCGAUAGGAUCUGGAAUGACAUGAGGACAUAUCAGGAUAUAGACUAUGUCAUGUCCGAAGCCAAGGUUUGUGUCAGUACACCACCCCAAGGCACAAUUCAGUUUAUGUAUGCUUGCAGCCUAUCCAUAAACUGGUAGAAUACAUCAAGUAUCGAGAGGCUUGCAUCUUCUAAACUUAUUGAUGUCUGCUGAUCGUCAUGCAAUCAGGCCUCAGGCAUUUUCGUGCAUAUAUCAAUGGCAACAUGUUAGCUUGUUAGGUCCUAUUCUGAUGAUGUGAAUGUGGAUUUUGAGGUCACCUUGAGUGAGGAAAACAUGAAUAUUGCUAAGCAAGAAGGCCUUGUGAAGAAAUUCAAGCUGACAUCCACACUGGCAAUAACAAACAUGCACUUGUUUGGUCCGGAUGGCAAAAUUAGAAAGUACGAGACCCCAGAGGAAAUACUUGAAGAGUUCUUCACACUGAGACUUGAAUAUUAUGUUAAAAGAAAGGAUGCUUUGUUCAAAAAUAUUACACUGGAAAUGAGGAAGCUUGAUGAAAAAGUACGGUUUAUUCUUGCUGUUGUUGAGGGUGAGAUUAAAGUCAAUAACAGGAAGAGGGCCGAGCUAUUUGAGGAGCUGAAGCAGAAGGGUUAUGAAAGUUUCCCAAAGAACAAGAAGAAGAAUGAGCCAGUUGCUGCAGGAGCUACAGAUGACGAUGAUGGAAAUGAAGAGAGCCCUGCUGAUGGUGCAGAUGCUGAAGAUGCUAGUGGUUAUGAUUACCUCCUCUCAAUGUCAAUUGGUACCUUGACUCGUGAGAAGGUACAACAGCUCAUUGCUCAGCAGGAGAAUUUAAGUCUUGAAGUUGAGAGACUAAGGCUAACAGAACCAAAAUCACUUUGGUUUAAAGACCUUGACGCUCUUGAGAAGGAACUGGAUAAACUCGACGCAAUCUAUCAAAAGGCCCAGGAGAAAAGAAGAGCUGCACGGGAAAAGAACAGGAAGAAUAAGGAAGCGGGAACUAAAGCAGCACCCAAGAGACAGCCUAAGAAGACCUAUGUCAAGUCUGAGAAGGCUGGGAGUGAUGAUGAGGAUUACGGAGCACCAAUGCCGAAAGCAGCAGCACAAAAGAAGAAACCAGCCAAGAAGGCAAUUGCACCAGUGAAAGAAGAAGAGGAGGAAAUGCUCGAACUGAAAGACCGUCUGGCGGCUUUAUAGUUAGCCUAUCCAGAAAGCUCAAUUCUAGAAAUGACUCAUCUCCAGAACAUAAGAAGUAAGAAACCGAUGCGAUGUCUGAGCGUCAAAGAAGAGGCGGCAAACCAAUGAGGCAGACCACGGGGCGUCGGCGAGGCGGCAGACCAAUGAGGCAGACCACGGGGCGUCGGCGAGGCGGUAGACCAAUGAGGCAGACCACGGGGCGUCGGCGUUGGCAACCAGCAAGGUCGAUGUAGAGAUUGCAGUCGUCGGCGAAGAUACGGCAGACCACGGGGCGGCGAGCUGGUUGCCAGAAGGCAGGCGUCAAAGAAGAGAUGUCAGACCACGAGGCAUCGAGGUGGUUGCCGGACAGCAGGUGAGAAGAGACGGCAGCGUGAGGGGGAGGUGAUUUCGUUGGUCUGAUUGAUUUUCAUAUACGUUUUGGCUGAUUUUUUCCUUGUACGUGAGGGGGAGAUGAUUUCGUUGUCCAUUUCACUGAUUGAUAUUUUCUUGUACGUGAGGGGGGAGAUGAUUUGGUUGGUCUGAUUGGUUUCCGUACACGUUUUGGCUGAUUGAUAUUUCCUUGCAUGGAACGUGAGACUAAUUGACUUUC